rnacentral:rRNA from 2 species
UUGACCUCGGAUCAGGUAGGGAUACCCGCUGAACUUAAGCAUAUCAAUAAGCGGAGGAAAAGAAACCAACAGGGAUUGCCUCAGUAACGGCGAGUGAAGCGGCAAGAGCUCAAAUUUGAAAGCUGGCCCCCUCGGGGUCCGCAUUGUAAUUUGCAGAGGAUGCUUCGGGAGUGGCCCCCAUCUAAGUGCCCUGGAACGGGCCGUCAUAGAGGGUGAGAAUCCCGUCUGGGAUGGGGUGCCCACGCCCGUGUGAAGCUCCUUCGACGAGUCGAGUUGUUUGGGAAUGCAGCUCUAAAUGGGUGGUAAAUUUCAUCUAAAGCUAAAUACUGGCCGGAGACCGAUAGCGCACAAGUAGAGUGAUCGAAAGAUGAAAAGCACUUUGAAAAGAGAGUUAAACAGCACGUGAAAUUGUUGAAAGGGAAGCGCUUGCGACCAGACUCGCCCACGGGGUUCAGCCGGCAUUCGUGCCGGUGUACUUCCCCGCGGGCGGGCCAGCGUCGGUUUGGGCGGCCGGUCAAAGGCCCUUGGAAUGUACCGCCCCCCGGGGCGGCUUAUAGCCAAGGGUGCCAUGCGGCCAGCCCGGACCGAGGAACGCGCUUCGGCUCGGACGCUGGCAUAAUGGUCGUAAGCGACC